GACAGAGGAUGCAAGCGUUAUCCGGAAUGAUUGGGCGUAAAGCGUGCGCAGGCGGUUUGUUAAGUCUGUUGUGAAAUCCCCGAGCUCAACUUGGGAAUUGCAAUGGAUACUGGCAGGCUGGAGUAUGGUAGAGGAAGGUGGAAUUCCCGGUGUAGCAGUGAAAUGCGUAGAGAUCGGGAGGAACACCAGUGGCGAAGGCGGCCUUCUGGACCAAUACUGACGCUCAUGCACGAAAGCGUGGGGAGCAAACAGG
rnacentral:rRNA from 1 species